rnacentral:tRNA from 1 species
UCUCUGAAGGUCCAGUGGUUAAGACUCUGUACUUCCACUGCAGGAGCUACGGGUUCAAUCCCUGGUUAAGGAA